rnacentral:lncRNA from 1 species
CAUGGUUUACUGAUGUAAUGAUAUAUGGUAUUGAGUAUCAUUACAACAAAAACGGUCUAUAGCGACACUUUUAAAUGUCGCUAGAGGUCAAAAAAAGUGCUGCUGGCUAAAUUACCGACACUUUUAAAAAGUGUUGCUAUAUGUGGGGUCACUAGGUAUAUAGUGACAGUUAAAGUGUGUCGCUAUAACUAAAAAAAGUGUUGCUAAUUUACCAAUACUUAUUUAAGCAUUUAGCAACCGCCGAAACUUUACCUCGUUGGCUGCGGUGACGGAGGAGGGCGAGAGGGAAGGGCUUUUCGUCUAGGAUUGCAGUAGAUUGAGUGAGGGGAGAAUGAGAGAUGAUAAUCGAUUUUUCUUUUUUUUUCUUUUCUGUUUGUAAUUGGGCCGAAUGGGCUGGGUGGAGUGUGUUGAGUAGAGUAAACUUUUUUUUUUUGGUUGGAUUGGGCUUUAUAUUUAGGCAUUAGUAGAAUUUUUUUAAGUUUGAUAUAAAUGAGACACUUACAAAAAACUAUCCCAAAUAUGUAUCCCUAUAAUCUAAUUCUAUUGUAGUGUAUAUUGAUUGGUUUAUGCACGCUUUAAGAUAAAGUAUACAUUUGUGAACUCAUCAAACAUAUUC